GCGCCGGUAGCGCAAUGGUUAGCACGCGUCCCCGGAAAGGGUGAGAUGCAGCUUGGAAUCCCGCCCGACGUU